rnacentral:rRNA from 1 species
UACAGAGGGUGCGAGCGUUGUCCGGAAUCACUGGGCGUAAAGGGCGCGUAGGUGGCGGCCCAAGUCCAUGGUGAAAGCUCGAUGCUCAACAUCGAGUCGGCCACGGAUACUGGGGUUGCUCGAGCACUGUAGGGGCAGAUGGAAUUCCGGGUGUAGCGGUGAAAUGGCGCAGAGUAUCAAGGAGGAACACCGAUGGCGAAGGCAGGUCUCGUGGGCAGUUAACUGACGCUGAGGAGCUGAAAAGCAUGGGGGAGCGAACAGG